rnacentral:lncRNA from 1 species
CGUGCUCACCCACUACCGCAGCCAUCAGAAUAAAGCUUUACAAACCGUUAAAAGAAAAAAACAUGGUAAUAUGAUAGCACUGCGGUUUUGAUUUGUCGUGUACAGUAGAAGGGACAGCCGCUGGCUCGUGAUUGCUUCUUUCCUAUUUCUUUUCGAGGCAACCAGUAAAACAUGAUAAUUAUCAUCAGACUUGCAUAAUAGUAAGAUCGGCCUGCAAAUAUUUCCUGGUUGACGCCUUGACGAGUCUCUUUUACGUCUAAAUUAUUGGAAAUUACUUUUUCUCCGGUUUCUUUUUCUUUCCUUUUCUUUCUUUUGUGCAAAGACUCGGAUGUCCUGAGAAUCAAACUAUUUCUUUUUCCUUUUUUUGGAGGUCUGUAAGCAGAAUUCUCUCUUCUUCUCGUUCUUUUUGGGAAAAAUAAUUCUGGGUUUUGUCUCUUUGUUUAGUGGAAGGUGGGGUUUGGUUAAAAAGAAGAUAUAUGUGCAUAUAUUCUGUGUAUUGUUUAGCAGCAGCAUCAUCAUCAUCAUCAUCUACAAAUAUUCUCUUGGCUUGUUCCUUUCUCUUUGCUUUAGCAACUUGAAUUUCGCUCUUAGUUGGGUUCGCUUUGAACUGUCUUCUGUUGGUUUUAGAGCUGAGCUUAAAGAAUUUUCCAAGAAUCUGUAUUUAUUCCAGGAACCAAUGUGGUUGAGGGAAAUUUUGUGAUUCAAGAAUUCGGUUUUUGCUAGCUUGUAUGUUGAAGUGCUAACUUUUUGUUAAGGAAAGGAAUAGUUCGUGUUUUUUGUUGCUUCCAUAUUAGCUGAGGAGGUGAUUCUUAUAGUAGUUGUGUUUUCAAAUUACCAGGUGAGGCUCUCUUACUUUUUUGUUUUUUAUUGUUUCUCUGCUCCUUCGCUUAUAUGAUUCGUAAGAAUAGUAGUUAAUAAGAUGGAUUCAAUGAAGUUUUUCAUUUUCUUCCAAAUGUAUGCCUAGGAAACCAAUUGGUUGGCCUUAGAAAAUUUUAGGAAUGCUUAAGAUCACUGAUGUAUAAGUAUGCUAUUUGGUUAAUUGAUUAUUUUUUAUUCAAAAGCGUCUUAAAUUAUGGCCUAUGAUCAGUAAGUCUAUCUGGAUAAAUUAAGCCAUCUAUUUGUGUAUGCACUUGUUUACUUGAUUGUUGUCGUUGUUGUUGGGACGGGGAAGAUAGGGUGGGGGAUACACUAAUUUGACAUAUCUAUGCAAACAUCACCUCAUCUUUUCAAACGUUCAAUUCUCAAAUUUUAUUCUGAUAGCAACAUAAUUAUGAGUCUUUCAAUGAUGAUUAUUUCUACCCUUAAGAAUUCUCAACUUGAUAAACAUAGGCAGUUAGUUCCCCCCCGGGGCAUCUUUUUGUUGUCUGGGUCUGUUGUGAUUUUCAUUUAUAAACUAGUAUCAUAAGUUGUGGAAAUCUGAACUCAAAUUUUAUUGUUAACUGCUAGUGCUGUUGAUAUUUGCUGCUUAUA